rnacentral:rRNA from 1 species
UACGGGGGGGGCAAGCGUUGUUCGGAAUUACUGGGCGUAAAGGGCGCGUAGGCGGUCAGAUAAGUCAGCUGUGAAAACCUCGGGCUUAACCCGAGGCCUGCAGUUGAAACUGUUUGGCUGGAGUGUGGGAGAGGAGAGUGGAAUUCCCGGUGUAGCGGUGAAAUACGUAGAUAUCGGGAGGAACACCGGUGGCGAAGGCGGCUCUCUGGACCACUACUGACGCUGAGGCGCGAAAGCUAGGGGAGCAAACAGG